CAGGCUGCAACUCGCCUGCACGAAGUCGGAAUUGCUAGUAAUCGUAGGUCAGCAUACUACGGUGAAUCCGUUCCCGGGCCUUGUACACACCGCCCGUCAAACCAUGAGAGUUGGCAACACCCGAAGUCGGUAGUCUAACCGCAAGGAGGACGCCGCCGAAGGUGGGGUUGAUGAUUAGGGUUAAGUCGUAACAAGGUAUC
rnacentral:rRNA from 1 species